GAUGAAUAAUCACAAAUGAACUAUUCAAAAGGAUUAAUGUGCUACUCCAGUAUUCUCUGAUACCAGCCCACCACAAAAUAAGUAAAUGGACUCUUAAGGGUCUCUUCCCAUCCUUGAAUUCCAUCCAAAAUAUACUCAAAAAACCUUGAUUAACACACGACAUUUUGUAUACGGUAAAAUAAAUUUUCUAUAGCAUACAAAGAAACACCAAUGUGGUUAACCCCUCUUAAGAGAUGAAUUUAAAGAACAUGAUUAGUUGAAAUAAUGAGCCUCCAUUGGAAACUGGUAAAUACUUUCAAUAUUAAAAAGGUUGUGAUACAAAAUGCUCGAACAAACAAGAUGUGAAAAGGUUUCCUUGGGCCAGGAGGAGAUUGACCUUCGAGUGCAAAGGCCAAAGCGAGCUUGACUGCAAGACCCACCAGUCUUCUGACGCGUUCUUGUCGAGCUGAAAGAGAGGCUGCCUUCCUUUCUUUGCUGAUUGGCAGCCGUGUAAAAUCAGCAAAUUUUCGAAUCAGGACAGUGAAUCUGCAUUCAAAUAACCAGUAAAAUUUUGGAAUUUGGACUGCAGGUUUCAAUGGCAUCAUCAAUCACCAGUUCGUCAAUUUUUUCCCAUUUCUGUCCAAUUUACCGAGAUGUGCCUGAAAACUGCCUUCGGCCUUCCAAGAAAACUCCAGCUAUACUCCCUCAUCAAGUUCCAUCACAUUCUAAUAGGGCUGCCAAAUUCAUAGCUUAUGUACAAUCAAUAUUCACCAGUAUAUGAUGCCUAAUAUCUUGUUUUUCUUAUCCCAGUUCAGAUGGUCAUUUCGAGGAUUAUUUCCCUUUAAUUACUGAAUAAAUUAUCAGUAAUUCAUGCCUAAUUGAGUAACAACUAUUGUUUUCUGGUCAAUUGUAAUUUCCUUUUUCACAAUAUAAAGGAUUGGUGUGGAUGUGAGACAGGCCCAUAUUUCCUGAUUACCCUUCGUCUUACUUUCUAAGAAUCAACUUUCUUGGCCAUCAAGCGGCCACAGAAUCCACCUCCACAGCCACUCAUUUUUCUCUCCCUAUCUGGUUUGUAACAACUACUGUUUUCUGGUAAAUUGUAAUUUCCAUUUUCAAUGUAAAAAGGAAUAUUAUACAUUACCGUUUUAUAUAGAUGAUUUUAACACAUAUCGAAACAAUGAAAAAUAACAGUUGAAACAAUAAUAGAUAAAAAUUACAUUUUUGCUGCAGACAUUCUAUAUAUUACUUGAAAAAGGAAAAAGCUGGUCUUAAGAGAAUUUGCUGUAAAAUGUAGGCGCAUCUGAAUGCACAAUCCCCAGAUGAAAGAAGGCAGUGCCAGAAUCUCAACGCCUAUGCAAUUCUUAUUGGCAACGUACAGCGCUGUAUGCACCAUCGAUAAUUAAGUGCAUCAGUGACUCUAAUUUGUCGCCGUCGAAUUUCCAGAAUAAUUUAUGAAAUGAAAACCAGUAAAAUUGAUGCUUUUGAGAAAAAAAAAAUUAAGACUUAAAGGCUCAUAGAUGAUUUAGAUUGACAUCAACAAGCUCUCAGAAGCUAGUUUGAUGGUAUAAUUUUCAUAAAUCAUCGCCCUUUUCUGUUUAUUAAAACAGAUUUAAGAAUCUAAUGAAAUCGAAUCGAAAAAGAAAAAUAUCAGUAAUUCGAAGCAAAUUACAACGAGAUCUCAGAAAUCAGAAGGUUAAAGACACAUCAGAAAAAUCUCCAGAAAGAUCCUUAUAUAAUUCCGACGAUUCUCUGUUCAUCGCCCGAGAAAAAGAGAGGAAGGUGGCUGGGCAUUCGAAAGCAUACAGCCUCGAAUAUAUAGAGUCAGAGGAGGGAUCAAUGUUGACAAUAAAACCCUAAUUUAGCUACAAUUACUUUGAAAGUUGACAUUGCUUUUCAAUUUGAGCAAUAUUAUUUGCAGUUGAUUACUGUCGUAGUCG
rnacentral:lncRNA from 1 species